UACGUAGGGGGCAAGCGUUGUUCGGAAUUACUGGGCGUAAAGGGCGCGUAGGCGGUACGACAAGUCAGGAGUGAAAGCCCGGGGCUCAACCCCGGAACGGCUUUUGAAACUGUCGAACUAGAGUGCAGAAGAGGCAACCGGAAUCCCAGUGUAGCGGUGAAAUGCGUAGAUAUUGGGAAGAACACCUGAGGCGAAGGCGGGUUGCUGGGCUGACACUGA
rnacentral:rRNA from 1 species